AGAGCGUUUGCUGAAGCGGGCCGCUGCGGAGACAACUUUUGUGCUGCCGUUAGAGUUUUGGUUAUGGCUGAGAAAGGUGGUGGAGUCCUCACUUUGAAGGAGGCGGAGGGCUCAGAACAAAAACUGCCCUGCAUGAAAUAUACUGUAUCUGAUAACUCAACGACAGACAUUUGUUACAUUUUUGAGCAUUAGCGAGGUUUCACGGCUGGUUCAUAAUGCAGUGGGUAAAAAAAA